rnacentral:rRNA from 1 species
CCUACGGGAGGCAGCAGUGAGGAAUAUUGGUCAAUGGGCGCGAGCCUGAACCAGCCAAGUAGCGUGAAGGAUGACUGCCCUACGGGUUGUAAACUUCUUUUGUAAAGGAAUAAAGUGAGGCACGUGUGCCUUUUUGCAUGUAAUUUAUGAAUAAGGAUCGGCUAACUCCGUGCCAGCAGCCGCGGUAAUCCGGAGGAUCCGAGCGUUAUCCGGAUUGAUGGGGUUUAAAGGGAGCGUAGAUGGGUUGUUAAGUCAGUUGUGAAAGUUUGCGGCUCAACCGUAAAAUUGCAAUUGAUACUGGCAGUCUUGAGUACAGUGGAGGUAGGCGGAAUUCGUGGUGUAGCGGUGAAAUGCUUAGAUAGCACGAAGAACUCCGAUUGCGAAGGCAGCUUACUAAACUGCCACUGACGUUGAUGCUCGAAAGUGUGGGUAUCAAACAGGAUUAGAUACCCCUGUAGUC